CAGGUAGGCUCUGCUUUCCACGUCAAAAUCAGGUAAUUAUGAAGAAGCUAUAGCUUGUGUAUUGCUAGAUCAAGUCACAAACCAAACCCCAAAGCCCGUGCUCCCAGAGCCUGCAGCAGGAUGCAUAGAGCUUGGAUCAUAUGCCACACCCAAUGUGAGAGCCCUUGCCUUGCCACCUAGUGGCCGGCUGAGUCUGUGUGAGUUAAUGAGCCUCAACAUCCUCAUCUGUACAAUGGGAGAAAAGCAGUACCUACUCAUAAAUAUCUCUUAAUGACUAAAAGAUAGAAUACUUAUGAAGGGACCAGGGUGCAAUUAUGGAGGGAAACUGCAAUCAGUGUUUCCUUCUGAUAUUGGCAAUGUUAUGUAGAGAUUAUAGAUCAUAGGCAGGUUGGCCGUAUUUUUUGAUCCCCAAAUUAGGAAAUAGAUAUGACACUUAAGAGUCUACUCAUGAAAAAAACAGGUUAAAAUAUUUGAAAUGGGAGCCUGUAAAAAUAUAACAUGAUUUCUAAUAUCUUUCUGUAGGUGCUUAUACUAAACCAUAGGCUUCAUAUAAUCUUUGACUUCUAGAAUGUCGUAGAAAGUUUUAGCAUGUCCCAAUUGUGUGUGUGUGUGUGUGUGUGUGUGUGUGUAUCUCACUGGAAUCAAAUCCAGCCCCUCCACAUACCCAGCAUGUAUUCUACCACUGAGUCAUAUCCCUAGUCCCUGAGUAUGUAGUAGUAAAAUAAAAUAAAAAGUAGGUAGACUGAGACCAAAUAAUCAUUCCCUGAACCCUAAUUUUAUUCCUUACUUUGUAAAUAAUACAGACCUGGUUUCUGUUUUCAUUUUAAUUUUUUGUCUUUGGAGAACAAAGGUUAGAAUACAAACCUCAAACUUCCUUUAUUUUCAUAUAAGAUGUAACAUAAGAACUAAGAUAUGAGUCAUUUGGAGAAGCAUGAAAGCAAUGAAAAUUAAUAGUUUUUUAUGGGAAAAAUUUGAAGCUGCUAAUAUUAUUAAAUCCACAGCGGAGAAAGCUAAAUGAAAAUGUCGUAAUUAUCAUUCUGCCCCUAAGCAUUAUCUUCACAGAAAACCUGUUAAAGUAGAACGAUUGUAAAUAAUAGAAGGGGAUAUUGAAAUUUUUUUUUUGGGGGGGAAGAAUGUUCUAGAAACUGGGACUGCUAAACAUUCUCCUGGUUCCCACAUUAUAGUGAGUGACCUGAGGAAACAGUGGCUAGUACUUUUCUAGAAUUGUCUAAAUCCCUUUCACAACAUGAAAACCUUGAUCUUCAAUAGUUUUAUUCUACAACCUCUGAUCCUUAAAAAAAAAGUCGCAUGCUUCAUAGUUAUCAUCAAAAGUACCAUUCCACAUAAAUGUGUGAGAUGCCUAACAAAAUAUCAGGCAAAAUGGUAGACUCUAGGGAUAUAGUAGAAUUCCUGCUGGAAGAAUAUCCUGCUCUCUGGGUAGAUGAGAGAUACACAGCACUUAGAAUAGUCGGCCUCCUAUGUGUGGCAGCCAUGACUGUCAUUCUUACUAAGUCCUACGGAACUUCCAGUAGAGACUGAUGACAGUGAUGGUUCUCAGUGGUUGAGCUUAUGUUAUGUGAUGGUCACUGUACUUCUUGCCUUGUCUUCAUUGUCCCCUUUAAUAUUCUCCACGACCUUGUAAGUUAGCUCUUCUUACAGGAAUAGGACCUGAGGCCCCAGAACAGUGGCGGUGUGAAGACGGGAGGCCCAGGCCUGUACCUGGCCUCAUUCAGCCCCACUUUGACCAGGGAGACUGGGUCCUGGUUUCUUUUACUUUCUACCCAAAGUACCUUGUUUUCUUUAGAGCUCCAUUGGUAGGCUCAUUUUAGAACCAUGCAGUCAGUCUGGAAGUAUGAUCAGCUUUUUAGAAAGCUCCUUGGAGUUAUAUUAAUAAACACAGCUUAAAGUUUGAGAAUUGGCCACCAUAACCAGAGAAUAGCCGAAGGAAAAUCACCAGCACACCUAGAGUUUCUAACAGUGUAUAAAUGUGCAUCUGGGGCCUAGCUGGUUGUGAUUUUCCACCAGGGACAAGGACGGUGGUGGGACUUGGUUUUUACCUGCAGACAUAGGAUGCCUGCCUCAGAGAAGCAGAACUGGCCCAGAUACAGUGUGACAUUUGUGAGACAACAUGACAACAGAGCUUAGAGUAUAGGCUUCAUACUGCCAAUUACCUGGGUGUGGAAGCUUGAUUUCCUUCCUGUAGCUGCAUAAACAGCCAAGGAUUUCCAUUUCAUUUUCCUUUUUGGGGGGUGGAGGGUACCAGGGAUUGAACUCAGGGGCACUCAACCUCUGAGCCCCAUCCCCAGCCCUAGUUUGCAUUUUAUUUAGAGACAGGGUCUCACUGAGUUGCUUAGGGCCUCCUUUUUGCUGAGGCUGGCUUUGAACUCAUGAUCCUUCUGCCUCAGCCUCUAGAGCCACUGGGAUUGCAGGUAUGCACCACCAUGCCCAGCAAGGUUUUCCAAUUCUGAGUACCAGUUUCCCUAACCUAUGAGAGAGAAUGUACAUCCUUACAUCCCAGACUCCUUGUGAAUAUUAUUAAUUAGUUAACAAAUAACAAGUAAAUAUCAAUUAACAAAGCAUGAGACACAGCCUCAUGAGGUUGGGACUGUUCUUUAGCCCCCCACCCUCAGCACAUAAUCAAAUGCUUUGUUUUUGGGAAAGAGUCUAUUAUUCCCAAAAGGUUAUCAGAAAAUGUGCUCUGCUGCAGAUGGUCAGUGUUAAAAAAAGAAGAAAGAAGUUCAGAGAGGGCAUGGACAUUGCCCAAGGGCUAGGGAUGGGGUGGCGGAGGAGACAGAGAUCUGAGUGUGGGACUUGCUUUUAGUGGCAUUCCCUGAGGCCUGGGUUCUCUCUAUUCCCAUCCCAGAUUUUAAAGGAGCUUGAAAAUUUGGGAGAAGAAGGCUAAUAUUGCAAGAGAAGAUGGCUUCAGAGAUGGGGAGUUGGGUGGUCCCGUCUUUCCUUCCAGACAUUGAUUCACGAUGACUUAAUUCUAGAAAGAUCGUCAGCAAGUAAAAUAAAUAGGCUAAUCACCGUGGGCAAAUUGUAUGUUAAUGCAUCUGAACAUUGUUUCCAGUCUGACCCUUAAAUAUACGUUUAAUCAAUCUAGACGGAUGAGUCAUCCUGCUCUUAAUUCAUCUUUCUGGACAUUUAUAGAGAAAAGGCCAAGUCUUCACGCAGACCUUAUAAACGUGCCUUGGUUUGGUAUGGAUUUUUAUUUAUGUGCAGAGCCCAAGCAGCCGUUGCUUCUAAAUGAUGGCUUGUUUUGAAUGUUCUCAGACCUUCAAAAUGUUUUAUUUCUACCCUUGGGGAGGGAAUGGGGUGAGUUAAAAGAAAACACGGAAUGGUUGUUUUUCAUGGCAGGAGCCAGCAGUCCUUCUGGGCUGUGCGGUUGUGUUUGGGCUUUGUCGCUUUACAGUGGGGGUGGGGAGAAAGACGGGGUGCAUGCGAAUCAGAAGGCCUUCUUUGGGGAACCAUGUCUCACUCAGAUUUAUCUCAUCACAGGGACCCUGUGUUCAGUUUCCUUUGCCACCGAAAUGAUCAAUGUCAUUCCUUUGGAUGUGGGGUAUCCCCCAGAAGCUCACAGGUGAGAUAUGCAGGAAGGUCCAGAGGAGAAAUGACUGGGUUGUGAGAGCCUUAACCCAACCAGUGAAUGAACCCCUGAUGGGAUUAACUGGGCGGGGGCUGUGGCUGGAGGAGGGGGCAUUGGGGGCGUGGCUUUGGGGGUCUCUAUUUGUCUCUGGAGAGUGGAGUCUCUCUGCUUCCUGAUCACCAUGUAAGCUGCUUCCCUCCACCACAGUCUUCCUCCAUGAUGUCCUGCCUCCCCUGGAGCCCCGAGGAAUGGAGCCUGCUGUCUAUGGACUGAGACCUGGGAAACUGUGAGCCCCAAAUCAACUCUACCUCUUGUCCCAUUGCUCUGGUCGAGUCUUUUUGUCACAGCAGCAAAAGGCUGACUCAAACAAGGAGUCUCAUGAAAGCAUGUCCCUGGAAACUAAAGGCUUGCACUUCACCGAAGGCCAAGUUGGGGCCCAACUGCCCAGGCCAAGCCCAGUGUCAUCAUGGGCUUUUGGUCUGUCAGACAUGCCGGGGAUGAACCAUCUGCUCGUCCUGGGCUAGGAGUGUGGCUCUAGAGCUAUUUGCUCCAGGGAUCGCCUUAAAUUGGAGUCAGUCCUCUGGGCUCUGGGCUGUGCAUAUGUGCAGCAGAUAAUGGCAUUAUCGCUCUGUCCUCAAGUUCCUCUUGUCCACCAGGCUGUUGUGCCCCAGGAUCAAUGACUCUUGCUAAUUUUGUGGUCCUGCCUUCAGCUCUUAGCAUUCCUUUGUAUAAAGUCCUCUGUAGCAGACACUGUAAAAUUCCAGAAACUUGCUAUAUCCCCCGGGUUUGGACUUUGUAGGUAUUCCUGAGAUUGACAUUCCUAUGAUCAUGAAAUAAAGCGAGGUCAUAAGAAUGGCAUGUCUUGAGCUAGAAAUAAAUCCACUGUGGCUGGAGGAGGGUGGACAAGGAAUGGGGGUGGCAAUUUGGCCAGUUACGAGGGCCAGAUCAUGAUGGGUCUCAGGAGAUACCGUAGAGAGUUUGGGUUUUACUCUAAAUCCAAUGGGAAGUCACUGCAAGGUUUCAAGCAGAGGAC
rnacentral:lncRNA from 1 species